UACGAAGGGGGCUAGCGUUGCUCGGAAUCACUGGGCGUAAAGGGUGCGUAGGCGGGUCUUUAAGUCAGGGGUGAAAUCCUGGAGCUCAACUCCGGAACUGCCUUUGAUACUGGGGAUCUCGAGUCCGGGAGAGGUGAGUGGAACUGCGAGUGUAGAGGUGAAAUUCGUAGAUAUUCGCAAGAACACCAGUGGCGAAGGCGGCUCACUGGCCCGGAACUGACGCUGAGGUGCGAAAGCGUGGGGAGCAAACAGG
rnacentral:rRNA from 1 species